ACUCUUAGUAUCACCACUAGGUGAAUUAAGUUGGUUUUUUAUUACCGAUUUUCUCACAAUAAGUUGCAUUUAACAGGGGGCAAAGCCUGGUUGAACACCAUUCAAUUUGACAGCUAUCGGCCACUAUUUUCAAAAGUUUAUAAUGAAAAUGAUGUAUCGAACCACACAACCCAGCAAACAAUCAGUUCGACGUUAGACACUAGUUAGGGGAUGUUAGUUAUGUUGCCGUGCAAAUACAUAACCAUUUUUAUGAUUUUAUGCUGCUGCAAUAGUAUUCGUACGUGUAUAUUUCAAUUGUGACUGUUUUGCUUUUGUAUGCAGCCGCACGAAGCCGCACUGCUGAGGUGCUGAAAAAAAAACAAUGAUGAAAAAAGUUUCCGAGCAAUCAAAUCGUUUGGUCCGCGCGGUUGGGAUCCACUUCUUCCAAUGCCGUGCCAGAGAUCGUGUGGAUGCCGGCAUCAAUCUGGUGGCAGAACGAAAGUAAAAUCCAUCGAUGGCGGAUGCGGUAAAUUUAUCAACUUUAAAAAUCGGAUUCGAAUAAACCGGCUGCUGAACCGGCUGAGGCUGCUGAUCGAGUUGCCGACGAUGGUCAUUAGUGCUGUGCUACUGUUUGUGAUGCACUACAUGGACCUACUGGCCAAUCUCCGAGAGAAGCUCUCCCACCUUCACGAGUAUCUAUAUUUAUGAUGGGAAUUUCAAGUCAUCAAGGCCGUGUGGAUGCCUACAUCCGGAAUGCAUGUGCUGCAGCGAGAAAAACGGCACAAGUAGGAAAGCCUUUUAACAACAGAUACCGACAAUUAGUCAGACUACGUCGGCUACAUAGGCAGUCCAAAAUCAUGGACUUUAUUCCAGCGCCAGGAAGCUGUGGAUAUAUUCGAUACCUAUUUUAAAAGAAAAGUGAAAAGCUCCAUCAAAACCAAAUGGAAAACGUUGCUUUUCAAAACGAUUUCGUAUAGAGAUUCUAGAUUUUUCGAAUGAGAAGCCAUUUGAUCAAAAUGUAGAUUGAAACAACAAUAUUGUCAAUGGUUAAAUCACCGAAACUCUUUUUAUAAACUGAAGGUAAGGAAAGCCUUCGCGAACGCACUUUUGUAAAACAAUCAAACAGAACUUUAAAAAUAAUAAUUGCACAAAAAUAAACAAACUAUUCUUCAUUUAAUUCAGUUUUGUUUGCAUCUAGCUGUCAUUCGGUGCAAAAGUGUGCUUGUGUUGGUUAGUAAUAUAUUUCGCGCCAAUACAUGCACUUUUUGCUCGUAUGACAGCUGGAUGUAAAUAAACCAGCAUA